AAUGCAAACUUGAACAUAUUUCGAUUAUGGUGAUGGUGGUGAACACGGACGAAGUACUACGUAUCUAAUCCACGGCCAAUUGACCAACUCGAAUCACAAUAGCAGCUUGAGGACCAGCGAAGUGGGAAUCCAUCCCUUCUAUAGUAUUCCAAUGGGGGUUGUGAUACUAAUAAGUGCAAGGAAUGUAAAACCCCAACGUGUUGAAACGCUUCGACUGUAGAAUUUUUUUUUUUUUUUUUAGAAAACUAAAUAGAACACACCCAAUCCAAAGAAGAAGAAAAGAAAAGAAAAGAAAAGAAAAGAAAGGAAAAGAAAAAGAAACAUGCAUAACUCGUUAUUCAUGCGAUGUCAUAUGGUUUGCCUAAUGAUGAAGAAGUAGGAGGAAUAUCAGUCGGUUGAUCAACCAUAUAAUCGAGA
rnacentral:sRNA from 1 species